rnacentral:lncRNA from 1 species
GCUCAUACCACUGCACUAUAGCCCAGGCAACAGAGCAAGACCCAUUUCAAAAACAAAAAAAGCAAACAAAAAAUAUUUAUGAUAUAUCUGAAAAAUUUUGAGCACUGCAAUUGGAAAUUGAUAAUAUUCAGGAAAUGGCUGGAGUGCAGCAUUGCAAUCAUAGCUCACUGUAAACUUGAACUCCUGACCUCAAGCGAUCCUCCCACCUGGGUCUCCCGAAGUUCUAGGAUUACAGGUUAAAUUCCUACUUUCUUCAACUAAUACUGCUGUAGCCGUGAUGGAUUGGAUACAUUGGGGCCACUCAAAAGUGACUGGGUCUAAGACCUUUAACAAGAAGGCCACGGGCUGUCAAUUGCCUCCAUGCCCUUAGACAGCUGGGCACUCUUCAGGAUCUGUGGAUACUUCAGGGGUUCACAAUCGCAGUCUAGUCUUUAAGAAG